ACGGACAUACCACGCUGAAUAUACCGGUUCUCUUUAGAUCGAAGUCAAGCAUCAUUGGGCGCGGUCAGUACUUGGGUGGGUGACCACCUGGGAACACCUCGUGCCGUU
rnacentral:rRNA from 1 species